GGCGUGUUAGAAAUAUCUAGAUAUUUGUGUAAGGGAAUUGGAGGGCUAGGAUUGGCCAAGGGAAAGUGCUUUUGAUCAAGUGGUCAUGGUGGAGCAAGACCACUUGUCAUAGGUUUUGUUUGGUAGACUUUUGGGACUUAGAAAAAAUUGUGAAACCUCUCCUUCUCUUCUCUCACAAACCGUCCUUCUCUCCCUCUCACACAAAGCUUCAUUGAUUUUUCAUUUCUCACCCAUUCAAGCUAGGAAUUGUCUUGUUGGAUCAAGGAACUUGCAAGGAUAUCACUACUCAUAAGGGCGCACGAAUUGUUGCAUAACUCGGAAUCGUUUGUAAUUGGAAGUUUCGCCGAGACGAUGGAGCGCCAUCUGAGUCCGUAGGCCGUGUGGACGGCGAGGACUUCGUGGACUAUCCCGGAGUGUAGAGAGUAGCGCUUGUUAGGCUACAUUUUGGUAGGCUUAGGGUCUAGGUUAUAUUUUGGGAUGACUGUAUGUUUUAUACAUUA